rnacentral:lncRNA from 1 species
UUCCUGGCUUCAUUUCAGUCUAUUUGGCAAAGGCUUUACUAAAUAUUUGGGAUAUCUGGCACCAUGAAGUUCAGGUUUUAGGGCUAACUGACUUUGACAUCUGUAGAAGAAGAUGGCGUGAAUCUUUGACACUCAUUCGUUUCCAUUCUAAAAACCUCUUCUACCCUGGGAGUUACGUUUUGGUGGAGAGCUUUGAAAGAAUCAUUAAAUUGUCAAAUGAGCAACAUGAAUUAUGAACACUUCAUGAAUAAUUUGGACUAUGAAUAAAUUCCAGGAGUUUCAGGAGCUCUGCCAGAACUGAUGAAGAUGAAAUAGAUGUGUCUUAUUCUAUCAGAGCAUCAUGAGUGUGAACUAAUGAAUAAGAAACUACUGAGGGCCUCAACCAAACUUUUGUGAUUUUUAAC